AUUGAACGCUGGCGGCAGGCUUAACACAUGCAAGUCGAGCGGAGAUGAGGUGCUUGCACCUUAUCUUAGCGGCGGACGGGUGAGUAAUGCUUAGGAAUCUGCCUAUCAGUGGGGGACAACAUUCCGAAAGGAAUGCUAAUACCGCAUACGUCCUACGGGAGAAAGCAGGGGAUCUUCGGACCUUGCGCUAAUAGAUGAGCCUAAGUCGGAUUAGCUAGUUGGUGGGGUAAAGGCCUACCAAGGCGACGAUCUGUAGCGGGUCUGAGAGGAUGGUCCGCCACACUGGGACUGAGACACGGUCCAGACUCCUACGAGAGGCAGCAGUGGGGAAGAUUGGACAAUGGGCGCAAGCCUGAUCCAGCCAUGCCGCGUGUGUGAAGACGGCCUUCGGGUUGUAAAGCACUUUCAGUAGGGAGGAAGCGUUGUGUGUUAAUAGUACACAGCGUUGACGUUACCUACAGAAGAAGCACCGGCUAACUCUGUGCCAGCCGCCGCCGUAAGAC
rnacentral:rRNA from 1 species